UACAGAGGUCUCAAGCGUUGUUCGGAUUCACUGGGCGUAAAGGGUGCGUAGGUGGUUCUGCAAGUCUGAUGUGAAAUCUCCGGGCUUAACCCGGAAAUGGCAUUGGAAACUGCAGGGCUAGAGUGUUGGAGGGGGGACUGGAAUUCUCGGUGUAGCAGUGAAAUGCGUAGAUAUCGAGAGGAACACCAGUGGCGAAGGCGAGUCCCUGGACAACUACUGACACUGAGGCACGAAAGCUAGGGGAGCAAACAGG
rnacentral:rRNA from 1 species